GGGUGCGAUCAUACCAGCGUUAAUGCACCAGAUCCCCUCAGAACUCUGCAGUUAAGCGCGCUUGUGCUGAGUAGUACUGGGAUGGGUGACCUCCCGGGAGGUGCUGGUGUUGCACCCU
rnacentral:rRNA from 1 species